rnacentral:rRNA from 1 species
GGGUACGAUCAUACCAGCACUAAUGCACCGGAUCCCAGCAGAACUCCGUAGUUAAGCGUGCUUGGGCAAGAAUAGUUCUAAGAUGGGCUUGUCUUAUGACUU